rnacentral:sRNA from 1 species
CUGUACGGGAAGGAUGAGAAGCUUCGACUAAGGUUCGAUUCGAGCGUCAGCGAGAAAGCGUUGCCGCAGGCAACGACCCGAAGGGCGAAGCGCGCAGCGCUGAGUCAUCCUUCCCCCACCACCA